rnacentral:rRNA from 1 species
GUUUAGUGGCGAACGGGUGAGUAACACGUAAGCAACCUGCCCUUAAGACGAGGAUAACAAUUGGAAACAAUUGCUAAGACUGGAUAGGAAAAGUAAAGGCAUCUUUNCUUUUUUAAAAGAUCUUCUUUGAAGGUAUGCUUAAGGAGGGGCUUGCGACACAUUAGUUAGUUGGCAGGGUAAAGGCCUACCAAGACUAUGAUGUGUAGCUGGACUGAGAGGUUGAACAGCCACAUUGGGACUGAGACACGGCCCAAACUCCUACGGGAGGCAGCAGUAGGGAAUUUUCGGCAAUGGAGGAAACUCUGACCGAGCAACGCCGCGUGAACGAUGAAGUACCUCGGUAUGUAAAGUUCUUUUAUUAAGGAAGAAAAAAGAGUGGAAAAACUCCCUUGACGGUACUUAAUGAAUAAGCCCCGGCUAAUUAUGUGCCAGCAGCCGCGGUAAUACAUAAGGGGCGAGCGUUAUCCGGAAUUAUUGGGCGUAAAGGGUGCGUAGGCGGUUUAAUAAGUCUAUAGUUUAAUUUCAGUGCUUAACGCUGUUGUGCUAUAGAAACUGUUUUACUAGAGUGAGAUAGAGGCAAGCGGAAUUCCAUGUGUAGCGGUAAAAUGCGUAAAUAUAUGGAGGAACACCAGAGGCGUAGGCGGCUUGCUGGGUCUUUACUGACGCUGAGGCACGAAAGCGUGGGGAGCAAACAGGAUUAGAUACCCUGGUAGUCCACGCCGUAAACGAUGAGUACUAAGUGUCGGGUAAAACUGGUACUGAAGUUAACACAUUAAGUACUCCGCCUGAGUAGUACGUACGCAAGUAUGAAACUUAAAGGAAUUGACGGGACUCCGCACAAGCGGUGGAUCAUGUUGGUUUAAUUCGAAGAUACACGAAAAACCUUACCAGGUCUUGACAUUUUCUUGCGAAAUUAUAGAAAUAUAAUGGAGGUUAUCAGGAAAACAGGUGGUGCAUGGUUGUCGUCAGCUCGUGUCGUGAGAUGUUAGGUUAAGUCCUAAAACGAGCGCAACCCUUGUCGUUAAUUGCCAGCAUGUAAUGAUGGGGACUUUAACGAGACUGCCAAUGAAAAAUUGGAGGAAGGUGGGGAUUACGUCAAAUCAUCAUGCCCCUUAUGAUCUGGGCUACAAACGUGAUACAAUGGUUGAUACAAAGAGUAGCUGAAACGCGAGUUCUUAGCCAAUCUCAAAAAAUCAAUCUCAGUUCGGAUUGAAGUCUGCAACUCGACUUCAUGAAGUUGGAAUCGCUAGUAAUCGCGAAUCAGCAUGUCGCGGUGAAUACGUUCUCGGGGUUUGUACACACCGCCCGUCAAACCACGAAAGUUGGCAAUGCCCCAAAGCGGUCACCUAACUUCGCAAGAAGAAGGAUCCGUCUAAGGUAGGGUCGAUAAUUGGGGUUAAGUCGUAACAAGGUAUCCCUACCGGAAGGUGGGGAUGGAUCACCUCCUUUCU